AUUGAACGCUGGCGGCAGGCUUAACACAUGCAAGUCGAACGAGUCGCGGACGGGUGUGUAAUGUUGGGGACUCCAGCUUAUGGAGGGGUAUAUCUACGGGAAACUGUAUCUAAUACCGCGUACCAUAGGAUGAGCCCAAGUGGGUUUAGGUAGUUGGUGAGGUAAAGGCUCACCAAGACGACGAUCUCUAGCUGGUGUGAGAGGAUGACCAGCCAAACUGGGACUGAGACACGGCCCAGACUCCUACGGGAGGCAGCAGUGGGGAAUAUUGCGCAAUGGGUGCAACCUGACGAAGCCAUGCCGCGUGAAUGAAGAAGGCCUUCGGGUUGUAAAGUUCUUUCGGUAGCGAGGCGUUAACUACAGAAGAAGCACCGGCUAACUCCGUGCCAGCCGCCGCGGUAAUAC
rnacentral:rRNA from 1 species